CCUACGGGGUGCAGCAGUGAGGCAUAUUGGUCAAUGGACGCAAUUCUGAACCAGCCAUGCCGCGUGCAGGAAGACGGCUCUAUGAGUUGUAAACUGCUUUUGUACGAGGGUAAACGCAGAUACGCGUAUCUGUCUGAAAGUAUCGUACGAAUAAGGAUCGGCUAACUCCGUGCCAGCAGCCGCGGUAAUACGGAGGAUUCAAGCGUUAUCCGGAUUUAUUGGGUUUAAAGGGUGCGUAGGCGGUCGGAUAAGUUAGAGGUUAAAUCCCGAGGCUCAACUUCGGAAUUGCCUCUGAUCCUGUUCGGCUAGAGUGUAGUUGCGGUAGGCGGAAUGUAUGGUGUAGCGGUGAAAUGCUUAGAGAUCAUACAGAACGCCGAUUGCGAAGGCAGCUUACCAAGCUACUUCUGACGUUGAGGCACGAAAGCGUGGGGAGCAAACAGGAUUAGAUACCCGAGUAGUC
rnacentral:rRNA from 1 species